AGAGUCUUCCUUGCUCUUCCUUGAACAUCAACCACUGCCCCCGCCUCUGUCCGGCCCCACUAAUGCCCUCUUAGUCGCCAAGGAGCAUGCAGAGAAUUAAGAUAAAUCCGGCACGUGCAGAUGUUGGUGACGAGCUGAUUGUUACACGCCAUCAGGGAGGAGUCAGUGUCCUUUUCUGGUUCUAGUCCUGGUGCCCCAAGAACAGAGCUGGACACGAGAUGCCAGCCUCUCCAAUGGGAUUCCGUGUUUCCUGCUGUGCUAACCUGCAUGCGCGGGUGAUACUUCAGGCUCCAGAGGCACACUGUGGGGGAAGAGAUGCUCCCUGCCUGGGAGGAGCUCCAAGUGUGAGAGACUGAGACCAGUGGGAAGGAGGAGGGAAGAGCGGCCGCUGCAGAUCCCACCCUGGAAACUCCGAGGGCCACAUCCUGCCUAGACAUCCCUCUGACACAAUCCUUCAGCUUCACCCGAAUACACACUCAGGUUGCUCCGAGGUCCCCUCUCUCACCCUCUCCUGCUGGAUCCGGAGGGAGCUGGGUCUCUAAUUCUGGGUGACCAAUAACAAUAAAAUGCAUGAAUGGCAA